rnacentral:rRNA from 1 species
ACCUGGUUGAUCCUGCCAGGGGCUACCGCUAUUGGAGUUCGAUUAAGCCAUGCGAGUCGAGAGUCUUAGGGACUCGGCAUACCGCUCAGUAACACGUGGGUAACCUGCCCUAUGCUGGGGAAUAACCUCGGGAAACUGAGAAUAAUACCUCAUAGUCCACAAUGCCUGGAACGGCUUGUGGAUUAAAGCCCCGGCGGCAUAGGAUGGGCCUGCGGCGUAUCAGGUUGUAGGGGGUGUAACGUACCCUCUAGCCAUCAACGCGUACGGGUGUUGGGAGACAUAGCCCGGAGAUGGAUUCUGAGACACGAAUCCAGACCCUACGGGGUGCAGCAGGCGCGAAAACUUGGCAAUGCGAGAAAUCGUGACCAGGGAACUCCAAGUGGCUGGGGUAAGACCCAGUCUUUUCUUGACUCUUCAAAGGUCUUGGAAUAAGAGGUGGGCAAGGACGGUGCCAGCCGCCGCGGUAAUACCGGCGCCUCAAGUGGUAGUCGAUUUUAUUGGGCCUA